rnacentral:lncRNA from 1 species
UCUGAAGUUGAUAUUGUUUUUCAUCUUAUGUAGAUCAACAUUGGUUAGAUCUUUUGAAACCAUCCCUGAAAGUACAAAACUAGAGUCAGAGAUUUGUGUCAUUAACACAAAGGUGAGAAAAUAAAUAUCAAAUGUCUGCUUUAUGUGGUAAAUAUUUAUUUGUUUACCUUUUUUUUUCCAGAGAGAUGAAGUAACAACUAUGGAGGGAGAAGUCAUUAGUGGGAUUCCUCAAGGUUAUGUGAGGUGGGUGAUGGAUGAAGAAGAGGGACAUUUCUGGUGAGACGAGAGCUACAUUGUUUUUACCAAACAAAAGAAAAUAAGAAGAUACAUGUUAGUGCUGGUGAAUAAAGAAAAGUAUCAGAGAAGGGAUAUACUAACCGCUGCUAAUUCAUUAAUCAGAUUUGGAAGAAAAAUGGUGAAAAGGUGUGAAAGAAAUGAAAGAAAAGAGAGAGUAGACAAACUUG